AGAUCCCGUGUGACAAGGAUGUACAUGAAAGAGCAGGAGGAGAGAAGAGCGCCAUCCAAAGGUGAGAGCAGCCAAGGAAGCAGAAUAUCUGUUCCGGAGGUGGCUCUGGCAAGGUGUCCUCCAAACCUACUUUUGGCACCCCCCAAGGAUGGCAGGCAGCAGAUGGGUGAGAGGCUGAG